UACGUAGGGGGCAAGCGUUGUCCGGAUUCACUGGGCGUAAAGGAUGCGUAGGCGGACAUUUAAGUCAGAUGUGAAAUACCCGAGCUUAACUUGGGUGCUGCAUUUGAAACUGGGUGUCUAGAGUGCAGGAGAGGUAAGUGGAAUUCCUAGUGUAGCGGUGAAAUGCGUAGAGAUUAGGAAGAAUACCAGUGGCGAAGGCGACUUACUGGACUGUAACUGACGCUGAGGCAUGAAAGCGUGGGGAGCAAACAGG
rnacentral:rRNA from 1 species